rnacentral:lncRNA from 1 species
CUUAUCUUCCUUUUCAUGCAUAUUUCAAUUUAAAAAUAUGCAGUGAUUUAGCUUCAACUUACUGUUAACUUCUCAGCAGGUAUUUCAGAGUAGUUAAACCUUCUUAUCAAGGUUAUUCUGGUUACUAUCAUCGGGUGGCAGACCAUGAAGGAAGUAAAGCUUUUUGAAGCUUCUUGGGUGCCAUGGACUAUCACAAACCCUGCAUGAGAAUUGGAACAAGGCAGCUUGAGACUC